UAAUAACAUGCAAGUCGAACGAGACCUUCGGGUCUAGUGGCGCACGGGUGCGUAACGCGUGGGAAUCUGCCCUUGGGUUCGGAAUAACUUCGGGAAACUGAAGCUAAUACCGGAUGAUGACGAAAGUCCAAAGAUUUAUCGCCCAGGGAUGAGCCCGCGUAGGAUUAGCUAGUUGGUGGGGUAAAGGCUCACCAAGGCAACGAUCCUUAGCUGGUCUGAGAGGAUGAUCAGCCACACUGGGACUGAGACACGGCCCAGACUCCUACGGGAGGCAGCAGUAGGGAAUAUUGGACAAUGGGCGAAAGCCUGAUCCNGCAAUGCCGCGUGAGUGAUGAAGGCCUUAGGGUUGUAAAGCUCUUUUACCCGAGAUGAUAAUGACAGUAUCGGGAG
rnacentral:rRNA from 1 species